rnacentral:rRNA from 1 species
AUUGAACGCUGGCGGCAUGCCUUACACAUGCAAGUCGAACGGCAGCACGGGAGCAAUCCUGGUGGCGAGUGGCGAACGGGUGAGUAAUAUAUCGGAACGUGCCCAGUCGUGGGGAUAACGUAGCGAAAGCUACGCUAAUACCGCAUACGAUCUACGGAUGAAAGCGGGGGAUCGCAAGACCUCGCGCGAUUGGAGCGGCCGAUAUCAGAUUAGGUAGUUGGUGAGGUAAAGGCUCACCAAGCCGACGAUCUGUAGCUGGUCUGAGAGGACGACCAGCCACACUGGGACUGAGACACGGCCCAGACUCCUACGGGAGGCAGCAGUGAGGAAUAUUGGACAAUGGGCGAAAGCCUGAUCCAGCCAUGCCGCGUGUGUGAAGAAGGUCUUCGGAUUGUAAAGCACUUUAAGUUGGGAGGAAGGGUAGUAACCUAAUACGUUGCUACUUUGACGUUACCGACAGAAUAAGCACCGGCUAACUUCGUGCCA